rnacentral:rRNA from 1 species
UAACACGUAUCCAACCUGCCGUCUACUCUUGGACAGCCUUCUGAAAGGAAGAUUAAUACAAGAUGGCAUCAUGAGUUCACAUGUUCACAUGAUUAAAGGUAUUCCGGUAGACGAUGGGGAUGCGUUCCAUUAGAUAGUAGGCGGGGUAACGGCCCACCUAGUCUUCGAUGGAUAGGGGUUCUGAGAGGAAGGUCCCCCACAUUGGAACUGAGACACGGUCCAAACUCCUACGGGAGGCAGCAGUGAGGAAUAUUGGUCAAUGGGCGAGAGCCUGAACCAGCCAAGUAGCGUGAAGGAUGACUGCCCUAUGGGUUGUAAACUUCUUUUAUAAAGGAAUAAAGUCGGGUAUGCAUACCCGUUUGCAUGUACUUUAUGAAUAAGGAUCGGCUAACUCCGUGCCAGCAGCCGCGGUAAUACGGAGGAUCCGAGCGUUAUCCGGAUUUAUUGGGUUUAAAGGGAGCGUAGAUGGAUGUUUAAGUCAGUUGUGAAAGUUUGCGGCUCAACCGUAAAAUUGCAGUUGAUACUGGAUAUCUUGAGUGCAGUUGAGGCAGGCGGAAUUCGUGGUGUAGCGGUGAAAUGCUUAGAUAUCACGAAGAACUCCGAUUGCGAAGGCAGCCUGCUAAGCUGCAACUGACAUUGAGGCUCGAAAGUGUGGGUAUCAAACAGGAUUAGAUACCCUGGUAGUCCACACGGUAAACGAUGA